rnacentral:rRNA from 1 species
AUUGAACGCUGGCGGCAGGCCUAACACAUGCAAGUCGAACGAGUGGCGGACGGGUGUGUAAUGUCUGUGAAACUGCCCGAUGGAGGGGGAUAACCACUGGAAACGGUAGCUAAUACCGCAUACCAUCGGAUGUGCCCAGAUGGGAUUAGCUAGUAGGUGGGGUAACGGCUCACCUAGGCGACGAUCCCUAGCUGGUCUGAGAGGAUGACCAGCCACACAGGAACUAAGACACGGUCCAGACUCCUAAGGGAGGCAGCAGUGGGAAAUAUUGCACAAAGGGCGCAAGCCUGAUGAAGCCAUGCCGCGUGUGUGAAGAAGGCCUUCGGGUUGUAAAGUACUUUAAGCGAGGAGGCGUUACUCGCAGAAGAAGCACCGGCUAACUCCGUGCCAGCCGCCGCGGUAAUAC